rnacentral:rRNA from 1 species
CGCGUAGGUGGUAGUGUAAGUCUGGGGUGGAAUCCCAGGGCUUAACCCUGGAACUGCCUUGGAAACUGUAUUACUUGAGUCAGUGAGGGAGGGUAGAAUUCCUGGUGUAGCGGUGAAAUGCGUAGAUAUCAGGAGGAAGGCCUGUGGCGAAGGCGGCCCUCUGGCGCUGGACUGACACUGAGGCGCGAAAGCGUGGGGAGCAAACAGGAUUAGAUACCCUGGUAGUCCACGCCCUAAACGGUGGGCACUAGGUGUAGGGCUCGUAAGGGUUCUGUGCCGAAGGGAAACCAUUAAGUGCCCCGCCUGGGGAGUACGGCCGCAAGGUUGAA